rnacentral:lncRNA from 1 species
AUGGCAUACAGUAUUAGAUAAAAAGACCAAAACUCAAAAAACUUAACUUUGACCGCUGAACCAUGAAAAUGAGGUCAAGGUCACAUGACAUCUGCCCGCUAGACAUGUACACCUUACCAUCAUUCCAUACAACAAAUAUAGUAUACCUAUUGCAUAUAGUAUGAGAAAAACAGACCAAAACACAAAAAUUUAACUAUAACCACUGAACCAUGAAAAUGAGGUCAAGGUCAGAUGACACCUGCCAGUUGGACAUGUACACCUUACAGUACUUCCAUACACCGAAUAUACUAGCCCUAUUGCUUAUAGUAUCU